rnacentral:rRNA from 1 species
GACGAACGCUGGCGGCGUGCUUAACACAUGCAAGUCGAACGGAAAGGCCCUGCUUUUGUGGGGUGCUCGAGUGGCGAACGGGUGAGUAACACGUGAGUAACCUGCCCUUGACUUUGGGAUAACUUCAGGAAACUGGGGCUAAUACCGGAUAGGAGCUCCUGCUGCAUGGUGGGGGUUGGAAAGUUUCGGCGGUUGGGGAUGGACUCGCGGCUUAUCAGCUUGUUGGUGGGGUAGUGGCUUACCAAGGCUUUGACGGGUAGCCGGCCUGAGAGGGUGACCGGACAGAGUGGGAGUGAGAUGCGGGGGAGAGGGGGGAGGGAGGGAGGAGGGGGAAAGAGCGAAAGGGGGGAGGGAGCAGGAGGCAGGAGCGGGGCGGGGGGCAGGACGGUCGGAGGGUUGAAACCCGGUGGGGCGGGGGAAGAGGAGGGAGUGGGGGUAAGGGGAAAAAAAGAACCGGAUAACAACGGGGAAGAGGCAGGGGAAAGAAGCGGAAGAGAACACGGUGGAAC